rnacentral:pre_miRNA from 1 species
AAGUAGUGUGACAUGCCCGUUUGAUGUUAAACUCUGAUGUAUUAUUUAUUAUUUAAUUGUUUGGGAUAACGGGGUGUUACAUUCAU